AUUUUUUUAGUAUAUAAAUAAAGUACAUUUGACUUCCAAUCAAAAAGUCUAAACUUUAGAAAAAAUA
rnacentral:tRNA from 1 species